GGGUUCUGGGUAUCUCCCUAUUUUGAUGUGAUUUAGUGCUCGAGGGUAGGAUUAUCAAUUGUUAAAUGAAAUGUUAAACGAUAAUUGCAUGUUACAUUCUGCAUACUCAUAAAAAGUACAUAUUGAAAUGGUUGAAUUGUUAAAUGUAUAUAUGGUUAUUGUGAAAAGUAUAAUGAUUUGAUAAUUGAAUUCGUCCUAUUAAUGAUGAUUGAAUGUUUAUGUUCACUUACUUAAGUAGCAAGCUCGAUUUACCAUAUUGAAUUGACUGAUAUGUGUGUACGGGUCCAAAUUUGCCCGGCCUGUUAGAAAACCCAAUAAUAAUAAAAUUCAAAAAUUAAUAAGUCUAAUAUCCAAAUUGCAAACAACUAGUAGGCCUAAAUUACCCAACUUAAACUAAGCCCAAACUUGGAUGGCCCAAUGCCUAAUCCAAAUUUCAGCCAAGCCUAAUCCUAGCUCUUUCUCGAGUGCCGCACCCCACGUGCCUCUGUCAGCGUGUCCGCCGUCCAAGGAUUGUUGCCUUGCACCAAAAUGGAAGCCUUCGCCCGUUGACCUUCUUCAGCCCUGCAAAACAAUCCACGAGUAAGAACACAGCAAAAUGCAAGAACACGCAAGGGCAGACAAGAGAAGGGAACAAAAAGAAAUGAUGACAUGUAUUCGGCUAUAUAUAGCCAGAAGAAAAAUGCAAUUUUUUUUAGAUAGAAUCAAUACAAAAAGGAGAUUCAAAAAACACGAAUAGCAAAUCCACAAAGAGAUUUAGAGAAAAAAAAAAAGGUUAUUGCUAUAUAUAUUUUUUAUUUUCUUUCUUUUCUUUUCGGUUGUAUACAUGUUUUCCCUAUUUUAUCUUUUAAAAACAAUAUCGUGUAUUUAUAUAUAUAAAUAUAAAAAAAUAAAAAAAUUACCUUUUUGGUUUUUCGGCCACCGUACGGCAGACGAUGUCGGUCUGAUGGUCGGACUUGUGGCCGAAAAUCGUGACCCCUCCCCAGAGAGAAUCCAAAGCUUUUCUCUCAGUUUUUUUUUG
rnacentral:lncRNA from 1 species